AGAAGUGCUCUGGAAAGGUCUAAUCGAGGAAAAACCCCCAGAUCCGGGGAAAUACAGGCAAAAAGAAACGGGGGCAGGCGAAGAACUUGUUUUGUGCCUGGAUGCCGUCCACCCCCUGGGACAUCCAGAUUU